GGAGUGGUAGCUCAGCUGGUUAGAGCGCUGCCCUGUCACGGCAGAGGUCGCGGGUUCGAGCCCCGUCCGCUCCG
rnacentral:tRNA from 2 species